UGGGCCUCACUUGGUCAGCACAUAAUACCAAAAUUAGAACUGUACAGAGAUUAAGCAUAGCCCCUGUGCAAGGAUGACAUGAAACUUGGGAAGCGUUCCAUAUUUUU